rnacentral:lncRNA from 1 species
CCUACCAACCACAAAUGAGCUCUUAAAGUUGCCUAAAUUAUCAAUCCUUUUUUGCCUAAAUUUGCAUAUUUUGGAGCUCAAUUUUAAAUCCACCACCAAAGGACCAGUUUUGAGCCCACUUCUUUUUUUAAAAGAAGAACCCUAAUACACAUCUUCUUCUUCAAGGGAAGGACAUACUAAAACCCUAGAAUACACAAGAACACAACCAUGGCUGCCCUAUCUUCUUCAACCUUGGAAGAACAACACAAACUCUAGACUCCAUAACCACUAAA